UGUCCUACGGGGGGCAGCAGUGGGGAAUAUUGCACAAUGGGGGAAACCCUGAUGCAGCAACGCCGCGUGAGUGAAGAAGUAUUUCGGUAUGUAAAGCUCUAUCAGCAGGGAAGAAGAUGACGGUACCUGACCAAGAAGCCCCGGCUAACUACGUGCCAGCAGCCGCGGUAAUACGUAGGGGGCGAGCGUUAUCCGGAUUCACUGGGCGUAAAGGGAGCGCAGGCGGCACGGCAAGUCCGGUGUGAAAGCCCGGGGCCCAACCCCGGGACUGCACUGGAAACUGCCGGGCUGGAGUGUCGGAGGGG
rnacentral:rRNA from 1 species